AUCCCAUAUUCUUGAUUGUAAUUGGGUGACCUUCCCUACAAGGCCAAUAAGCAAGUCCCUCAGGUUCAAAAGAUUUAGCUGAGCUGGGCAUCUUGAGGGUGAAGCCUUCUAGGAUACUAAAUCUGAUGAGCUUUUUGAAACAUACACUUGGUCUGGGAAGCAGCAAAGUGAGACACGCUGGCCACCAUUUUGCCUGAGGCCAGCCCCUCAGCUGGCACACCAGCCCCCUUGGGAUAGUUCUCAGCUUGGAGAAGUCUGUCUUUAAAAGAAAAAGAAAAAAAAAAGGUUUGUGCUUUGCUUGCGGAGUCUACAGCUGCCACAGGUUGUUUCCUUCUCACCAGACUGUUUUCUUUGGUGCCACCUCUCUGGGCUUGAAGGUAUUUCCCCACACCCAGGCUGUUACCAGAUCUGAUUUAGAUUUUUUUCCUUAGGGCUUCUACCCAUCAGCAGCCUUCUUCCUUUGGAUCUCACAAGCUUCCAACAACACCAUCUGUGGUUUGGCUCAAACCCUUCUGCCUGUGCUGCCAUCCUGUUCCUACAACACUGCCUUCAGCUAAGAAAAUUGACAAAGAAAUUGCACGGCGGUUGAAUCAAGAAGAAAAGGCCUGAGAUGUAAAACGGAUUCCUCGGCAUGAAGCAAACUCCGUGGGGCAAGUGGGGAGCAGUUUCCCGCCCCACUUCAGUCUCUAGGGGGGACUUAGCUACUGCUGCUGCCCCUCCCACUCCCUGCCUGGAAUAUACUCUCUCCAUCUCCCAGGCCUGUCUGAAUUAGGCUCAUAUUUCAAGAUCUCCCAUGCAUCCGUUUCCCUAGGAAAGCCUCACCUGCACUGACUUCUCCUCCAAGUCCCAUUUCAGAGGUUACACACGCACGAUUUGGCCCUGUGUUGCUCUCCUUGAUUUCACUUCUGUGGCUUCUGUCUCCCUAACUAGACCACAUACUCUUCAGGGAAAGAACCCCACACCUGUUCUUUUGGUGUCCUCUAAAGCAUCAGUAGUACAAAGUGGUACAAACUGGAGACAUCGGAUAAAAACCACGUCAAUGACUUCAGUUCUGUGGAUUCCUCAAAGCUGCUCACUGUUCUAGAUCUUUCCUAAGAAUUCUAACCCGGCUCUUAAUUAGAAUAGACGGUUUCCAUCUGGGAAGAGUCACCCUGCGGACACUCAAGGUGUGUGUGUCUGUUGGUGUUUUGUCACCUCUGUGAAUCAAAUCUGGGGUCUGAACUAGUGCUGCUGACAGCUGCCUGUGGAGUCACCCAGAGCAGCACUUCCCAACCUUUGCUGUGGCCAGGAAUCACCCAGGGAUCUUGUUACAGUGCAGGCUCAGUAGGAUCUGGGCUGAAGCCUGGGAUUCUGCCUUCCUAACAACCCUCAGAGGAUGCUGAUUCUACUAGUCUGUGACCUCACACUUUGAGUAGAAAGAGACCCAGGAACACGUGCGAUCUUGAGACUGAAGAUGCCAUCUGGCAGGGUUAGUGCUGCCUGCUGCCAUCCUAAUCUGAGGCACGUAAAGUCCAACAAGUCCAAUCUUCUCUCUGGCCAGGAAGAAUCCUGUUCUCUUUGUAGCUUUCUUUAUGGGAUUUUACUAAGCCCUACAUUAAUGUCCCUCUCCUCCUUCAAGUCUUCCCUACCUGUAUCAUUUUAUUCCUUCCUAUUUCUUCAAAACCCACCCCUUAGGACCAGCCCAAGCCCUACUUCUUCCAGCAGUGUCCCUGGCCCCUUAGCAACAUUCUCCAGGGUACUUCCUGCCCACACUACUCAUAGGCCCUUAUUAAAGGCCUCCCUGUCUUGGUGGCUUUUCUAUGCAAACGUUCUACUCCUAUAACUGUGCUGUAAGUACCAGGGGAAGGGCACAGACACAACAUCUUCCACUUUCGUGUAUCCUUCAGUGGAACCUGGGCUAGGGCAGACAAACUGGGUAAAUAUUUGCUGAUUGUGAAAGACAAUCAAAAAUGCCCUUUGCUCUUUUCCUUUCCCUCUCAAGGAGGAAAGAAAAAGUGAUCCCAGCUGCCUUGGCCUCCAUCCCCAGCCCAGCCUUGCUCCUCUCCCAGGCGCUGCAGCUGGGGCGGCUUAGAUUUUAUUUCGCUCUCUGCAGCUCCUCUUCCCUUCAGUGAAGAGUUAAAGCAUCGGGAAGGCUCCUUCCCACUUGGAAAUCUCCAUUUCCUCCUGCAGCGUGAACAAGAGAACUCUAUGGACAGAGGCCGAGUGAGCCAACUGCGCAGGGAGUGAACUCACUCUGAAUGGGGCUGUUCUAACACCCGCCAAGUCAAGUCAUUAAGAUGCCAUCCCCGAGGUGCAGCCCCCAGCGUCACCUCUGGAUAUCCAUAUCCUCAAGCCCGCCGGCAGAAAGGAUGAAUGACGCCACCAACACACAAUGGCCUCUACUCCUCCGGUGUAAACAUUGCCAAAUAAGACAAACAAUAACAUCACCACGACAGAAAAAUAAGGUGCCAAGAGAGACAGCAUGGGUCUGUGGAAAGAGUCUGGGUCUGGGAGCUGUUCAGGGUGUGCCCUCAGGAGGAUGGGAUAGAGAUAAAGUGUGAACUUACAAACCUGGCAGAGAGCAGGCACCUGGGAUGCAGUGGGCUGGUGGAAGAAAGAUGGCCUCAGUACUCCCAUCGAAGUAACAGUAUGUUCCAGGAUGCAGUUGGAAAUUAGGUUGGAAUGGAUGGGAUCUAACAGGAACAGCUCUUGGAAGGAUGGGCUAUCUCAUUAGUACCUUACAACUUCCAAUGCAUUGUCACAUAUUGGAGUUGGGACCAGGGUGAGGCAAAAGAGGCCUUUAAGAGUCAUGCAAGUACACUGGCCUCUGUCCUGCCACAUGCCUUAUCUCACGUAAUACCCAUCUGACCCUUGUCUGGCUAUUUAGUUGGUUUCGGGGUGGAGAGAGCAGGGGAGGUAAGGAGCAGAGAUGGGAGAGAGGACAAGCUGGCAGAGACUCUUUCUCUAUGAAAAGCCUUGCCUGAGUCACUCCUUCCCUCACACUUGCAUGUUACUCCAUCCAAACGAAACCAGCCCCUUUUGUGACUUCACAAAAUCUAUACUCACACUCCCUGUCACUGAACUCCAGGUCCAGAAAACUAUGCCCCCUGUGUUUGGCUUUAGGCCAAUGUCGUGAGAUAUUCCACACAGACAUGUGCUGUAUCUUCUUUUAAAUGUUGUGACUUUUGACCCCACAAAUCUAGAAUUUGUCAUCUUUCAAAAAGAGUUCUGUGAUUUCUUUUUUUUUUUUUUUUUUUUUUUGAGGCAAGAGUCAAACUUUUUUUCCUCCUUGAAUUCCUAAGUGCUUGCUGGUAAGAAGGAUGCAGUUUUAAAGAACCCCAGCUUCUCCAUUCCUCACACCUGUAUACUGAUGACUUGGAGACUAACAUCUUCCAUUGCUAGGCUUAGGAAUGAAGUUUUGCCUCUGAAGGGAGUUGUGCAUUUGUAACUGUCAUUCAACCAAUGGUGAAAGAGUCACUGGUCCAGGGCCAAUGUGCUCUGCUGCCUCCGGGAAAGCAUAAGACAUCAGUCUGUGGAAGAGGGCACUGGUGGUUUCCUUCCCUCCAAGAGGACAUAGUUCAGUUGGGUACAUACUGCAUUUCCCAGAUUUUGAAUACACACGUUUUAAGGCUUCCAAAAUCAGGUAUCUUUUGACAUGGUAAUUCCUUUUCCUCCCCCAAUUUUUAAUUUGGUAAAUAUGUACAAUUUAUAUGCUCUUAACAUUUUUAAAUUUGAAAAUCGAGAGCAAAAUCUUAUAGCCUAAACAACAGGAGUGGUAAGAAUUUGGUGGUGGUGAACAACCAGAAAAUCUGGAGUCCCAGCCAUGUCCACUGCUAGGACCCAGAGAAGCCUAGCCUGGACUGGCCCAGCUGCCGGGCUGAUGAGUGUGACCUCUGAGGUGAUAAAAUAACACCCAUGUGGGAGGAAUGGCCAAUAAGAAGGACAUGCCAGCCCCACCUUAGAAAAAGGCAUGAGUAGAAAUGAAGGUGCUAUAUCACUAAAAAUGAUGACAUUGGGCCCCAAGCAUCCGAUUUUCUCUGGCACCUGGCUAAGACAGGCAUAGAGGACAGGGCCGGUUGGGGUGUAGUCAGAGACACCCUCCCUAUUCUGUGGCAUUGCUUUGGCCUGUAGCAAAGUGUUAAAAUGGGACUCUUCCUACUUCAGUUUCAACUGAGUUCCCAAGACAAUCAAUGCCAGCUACUCCCACUUCCAAAAUGCGGAACACAAGAGCUCCUUGAAAAUGAUUUUGUGUACCUUCUCCAGCCACUGUCCACCUCAAGGAAAGUGCAUGGAUUGAUACAGAAGAGGACUCAAAGUUGGAGUUCUAGGAUUGAGUUGUCAACAUUGUGAUCAGUUUUCCUCCCCAUACCAUGGAGAGAGGACAUGCCUUGCUCCUGUCUCUUAAGUCCAGUGACUAGGGCUUACCUGAGACCACACACAGAGCUUGAUAUCUGUCCCUGGAGCUUGUGGAACACAGGAGACUGCCCACUGGUGAGCAGCUGGCUGAAGAGGCCUAUUGUAGAGGACAUUUCCAUUUGGAAGUCACUCCCUCUUGCCUAUAUCAUGGCAAGGGAGUGUGUGGCAGAUUGAGUUUCCUGGAAGAUGACUCUGAGGGGGAAGAUUAGCAUGAGGAAGGUUUAUUAGAGUGCUCUUGGGAUAGCACCCAGAGGAGGAAAGGAGAAGAAGCAGGAUCAGAGAGAAGUGGACCCCCACUGCCCGGAUCUGAAGCUGGGAUGGCCCUUCAGAGUUGUCCCAAGGCAGAGUCAAGGGGCCUUUCUACCCCUGCCAUAGAUUGGUCAUUGUUCCUGGCUGACCUUGGGGAAAGGCUGUGACCUUGAGCAACAGCAUCUGGGGGAAUGUGUCCUUCAUUCCUAAGGGGAGAUCUGGGCAGGGAUCACAGGGUCCAGUAUGGCAUAUGGCAUGCAGGUACCAGAUGUGGAAACUGCAAGAAGAAUAACCACCUAGGGCCAGGCACAGUGGCUCACAUCUGUA
rnacentral:lncRNA from 1 species